rnacentral:rRNA from 1 species
AAAUUGAAGAGUUUGAUCAUGGCUCAGAUUGAACGCUGGCGGCAGGCCUAACACAUGCAAGUCGAACGGUAACAGGAAGCAGCUUGCUGCUUUGCUGACGAGUGGCGGACGGGUGAGUAAUGUCUGGGAAACUGCCUGAUGGAGGGGGAUAACUACUGGAAACGGUAGCUAAUACCGCAUAAUGUCGCAAGACCAAAGAGGGGGACCUUCGGGCCUCUUGCCAUCGGAUGUGCCCAGAUGGGAUUAGCUAGUAGGUGGGGUAAAGGCUCACCUAGGCGACGAUCCCUAGCUGGUCUGAGAGGAUGACCAGCCACACUGGAACUGAGACACGGUCCAGACUCCUACGGGAGGCAGCAGUGGGGAAUAUUGCACAAUGGGCGCAAGCCUGAUGCAGCCAUGCCGCGUGUAUGAAGAAGGCCUUCGGGUUGUAAAGUACUUUCAGCGGGGAGGAAGGGAGUAAAGUUAAUACCUUUGCUCAUUGACGUUACCCGCAGAAGAAGC